GAUGAACGCUGGCGGCGUGCCUAAUACAUGCAAGUCGAGCGAACAGACGAGGAGCUUGCUCCUCUGACGUUAGCGGCGGACGGGUGAGUAACACGUGGAUAACCUACCUAUAAGACUGGGAUAACUUCGGGAAACCGGAGCUAAUACCGGAUAAUAUAUUUAACCGCAUGGUUCAAUAGUGAAAGACGGUUUUGCUGUCACUUAUAGAUGGAUCCGCGCCGCAUUAGCUAGUUGGUAAGGUAACGGCUUACCAAGGCGACGAUGCGUAGCCGACCUGAGAGGGUGAUCGGCCACACUGGAACUGAGACACGGGCCAGACUCCUACGGGAGGCAGCAGUAGGGAAUCUUCCGCAAUGGGCGAAAGCCUGACGGAGCAACGCCGCGUGAGUGAUGAAGGUCUUCGGAUCGUAAAACUCUGUUAUUAGGGAAGAACAAAUGUGUAAGUAACUAUGCACGUCUUGACGGUACCUAAUCAGAAAGCCACGGCUAACUACGUG
rnacentral:rRNA from 1 species